GCCGGGGUUUCUUUACCAGGUACUGUCAUUAUCAUCCCUGGCGAAAGAGCUUUACGACCCUAGGGCCUUCAUCACUCACGCGGCAUCGCUAGAUCAGGCUUGCGCCCAUUGUCUAAGAUUCCCC
rnacentral:rRNA from 1 species